rnacentral:piRNA from 1 species
UCUUGCACCACAGUGUGCUCCCGGUCUCAG